UUUUUUUUUUUUGUUAUUAGAAGUCUAAAAAAAUAAAACGCCUUAUUUAAGCAACAGAUCCUUUCUCACAUCAUUUAUCACCUUUUAUUUAAAAUUGGGGACCACUUUAAUAUCUUUUUAGGGGUAAAUUAGAAAAAAAAAUCCACAAAAAGACCACAUCCUUAAUCCUAGAUAAAUUUUAACUUUCUCUAUAUAAAUAGAAUGGAGGAAGAAUUAAUCAAUACUCAAUAGAAAAAAAUUUUCCGUUUGUUUGAUAAAUAAUAGGAAGAAGUUAAAAUAAAAUUUAUUUUUUUAUAAAUUAAAAUUGAAUACAAUUUUAUUUGACAAUAUUAAUUAUUUUAGUAACUUUUAACUAAUUUUUAGCUAAAUAUUUAUAGAUACCCCGCCCAUGAACAUAAAUAACAGUGAGUACAUUCAUUUUAGAUAGGUCGAGUAUUUUAUUCAAUAAACCAAAUACACAAAAGAGGGAAUCAUGAUGGUAUUGACUAAAAAUUGGAAACUUUCAUAUCAAUACAUAAAUUUAUUAAUUAAAGCAAUACAGUACACAUAAAACAACUUUAAAGAAGAUGAAGUAAUGUAAUAUAAAUUAGGAGAAUUCGAUCUCAAAAUACCAUUUGGUGUGAUCCUUUGUUCCCCUUAAAAUCCAAUAUUUGACAAUUCAUUUUGGGCACCUUGGGUCACGGUUGUAUCGGCUGCAUCGUGGAGGAUUUUUACGAUUUUUAUCAGGAAGGCAGUAGCGAUUCCCCCGACCGCAACCAAGAGUAGAACGGGGUUUUCCCGCUUCGCUAGCUACGCGUCUGGCGCUAUCUGCAAGCAUUCUGUUAGUCGCGGAGUCCAUCAUCAACUCUAAUUCCAUGUUGGUGUCUGCCAUGGAAAAGGAAAAGGAGUUGCUGCUAAUCAUUUCCUGGGGAGUACUGACAGCUCCCAGACAACUGCUUCUGCUCAUCAGAAUCAAAAUCACCACCACCGCUAGAGAAAGACUCCUCAUUCUGCCUUUUUUUUUAGUACUAUUUUCUAGUGUCGGUGUUUAUUUCAUAUGAAAAUACAGCUGGGAAGAGAGCUCUAAAUAGUAAAGUGGUGGUUUUUUGACAUUGACUUAUUGGCUGCAUUCGAAAUUGAUUUGGACCAAGAGAUAAUGGACAAUGAGUCCACCAUAUCCUUAUCUUUAAGAUUUUAUUUAAUGUAUUUAUGAGUGUAUUAUAACUAGUGUAAUUGAUUGGUGAAUAGAGUGAGUGAUUGAUCCCUUCAUGACUCUAUUUCACCCAUUUUCAUAACUUAGCAAUAAUAAUUAUUUGUGAGUGGUUGCCUAUA
rnacentral:lncRNA from 1 species